AAAAGGAAUGAUUACUUAAUUCAUAAAUGUACAAUUAAUUACAUUGAAGAAAAGGAUCAAACUUUGUUUAGAUUUUUGGAUGUGGGGUUUAAUCGGGGAGGUUGUUGAUCGGCCACUAAUCUUAUGUCACCGCCGUAAUUUGAUGAUGACACCAUCUCUACGUGCACAUAUUAAAAAAAAAAACCCGAAUAAAAGUCAAAACCCGGACGUUCACCCGGGGCAACGCUCGGGUUACAUACUGGAGUAGUUAGAUAUUAUUCACAGUAUACCGCCCUAUUUUUCACAAAUUGCGCUCAACUUUUCGUUCUAAACUUUUCGCUCAAAAUUUUUUCGCUCAAAACUUUCAGUUCCCUCCACUGCCUUCCGUCUUCUCAAAUUAGGGUUAAGAUCAGUUUUCUCUCUUCCUCCUAAAGUGACACAGUUCAUACCAAAAUCUUGAACUCGAAGCGCGAGAUUCUGGGAGAGGGUGUGAAUAAUUCGCGCAACAUUGGUUGGGUUUUUCAUCCUGGAUUCUUACACUAUUUGACGAAACUCCAUUGCAGCUGUUUCAUCACAAGUUCAAGUUUGGGUUCAGUUUGGGUUCUUCACCAUGAUUUGUUGUGGUUAGUUUUGUUGUUUCCUUAAUUAUUGACACUUCUCAUGAUGAUAUACCCAAUGGAGCAUAUGUCUUAAUUCUGUUCAACGGAAGUAUCUGCGGGUUUCCAUUGGGGAUUCGAUUCCUGUCAGAAGAUUUGUACCUCCUCAAUAUUUUAUACUUGUAGUGCUUACCGUUGAAUUGGACUACGAAGAGCAAAAGUAAGAGAAGAACAGGAAGGGUUUCUGUCUUGGACACGACACACUUGUUGACGGGAUGUUGAAGGAUGGUCUUUGGGAUGUUUACAAUUAUUGUGGCAUGGGAGUUUGUGCUGAAUCAUGUGCAGAACAUCAUGCAGUAACAAGAGAGGAUCAGGUGAAGGCACAGGGGCAACUAUGUCUGAUGACGAAGAUGAUCCUCUUCUUCAGCGGCCUCAGUUGCUGCUAUCCCGUCACUACUACCUAAAAUGCAGACAUUAGUGCCACCAUCAAAAGAAGUUGCUGUUCUAAAUCAGUCUGCAGGCAUCUCAAUCCCUGUUUCAUCGCUCAUGCCUGUCAGUUCACUUCCUACAUCUGUGCCUAAUUAUUAGAACUUGAAAGUCUCAGCGGAAACCUUUUCCUGAACAUAAAACGAACAAAGGUAAACAGAAACAGAACUAGAAGUGACCAUCUAAUAUGCAUGCUCACUGCUAUGAAGGUGUGCCUCCCGUGCAGCCUUCCACAUUGCUAUGAAGGUGUGCACACAGUACAAACCAUCCAGGCCCCUCUUGUCCUCCUUUUUUUGAAGAUAACUCUUUAUUUGGAAAACGGUGAAGUCAGACUUAUUUGGGGAAGCACAAAUGACGUUAUCGAGUUAUACAAUAUUAGUUGUCUCGUUGUUGCAUUGUAAUAGUUAAUUAGUUAUUUAUCUAGUUAUUUGCAGAUUGUUAUGUUUUUAAGACUAUUAGACAAUUAUAUACCACCUAUGUAAUGACUUAUGACUUACUCUGUAUGAGUUAUUUAUUUAUAAUAUUAUUUUUAUCUUAUAA